rnacentral:rRNA from 1 species
CCUACGGGAGGCAGCAGUAGGGAAUAUUGCUCAAUGGGGGAAACCCUGAAGCAGCAACGCCGCGUGGAGGAUGACGGUUUUCGGAGUGGAAACUCCUUUUGUUAGAGAAGAUAAUGACGGUAUCUAACGAAUAAGCACCGGCUAACUCCGAGCCAGCAGCCGCGGUAAUACGGAGGGUGCAAGCGUUACUCGGAAUCACUGGGCGUAAAGAGCGCGUAGGCGGGCUAGCAAGUCAGAUGUGAAAUCCUAUGGCUUAACCAUAGAACUGCAUUUGAAACUGGUAGUCUAGAGUAUGGGAGAGGUAGGUGGAAUUCUUGGUGUAGGGGUAAAAUCCGUAGAGAUCAAGAGGAAUACUCAUUGCGAAGGCGACCUGCUAGAACAUAACUGACGCUGAUGCGCGAAAGCGUGGGUAGCAAACAGGAUUAGAUACCCCUGUAGUC